GAUGAACGCUGGCGGCGUGCUUAACACAUGCAAGUCGAACGGAAAGGCCCAAGCUUGCUUGGGUACUCGAGUGGCGAACGGGUGGGUAACACGUGGGUGAUCUGCCCUGCACUUCGGGAUAAGCCUGGGAAACUGGGUCUAAUACCGGAUAGGACGAUGGUUUGGAUGCCAUUGUGGAAAGUUUUUUCGGUGUGGGAUGAGCUCGCGGCCUAUCAGCUUGUUGGUGGGGUAAUGGCCUACCAAGGCGUCGACGGGUAGCCGGCCUGAGAGGGUGUACGGCCACAUUGGGACUGAGAUACGGCCCAGACUCCUACGGGAGGCAGCAGUGGGGAAUAUUGCACAAUGGGCGCAAGCCUGAUGCAGCGACGCCGCGUGGGGGAUGACGGCCUUCGGGUUGUAAACUCCUUUCGCUAGGGACGAAGCGUUUUUGUGACGGUACCUGAGAAGAAGCACCGGCUAACUACGUG
rnacentral:rRNA from 1 species